rnacentral:rRNA from 1 species
CUACACGGGUAUCUAAUCCCGUUCGCUCCCCUGGCUUUCGCGUCUCAGCGUCAGAAAAGGUCCAGGGCCUCGCUUUCGCCACGGGCGUUCCUUCCGAUCUCAACGCAUUUCACCGCUCCACCGGAAGUUCCAGGCCCCCCUACCUCACUCCAGACCGGCCGUAUCUGUGCCCAUUCCCCGGUUGAGCCGGGGGAUUUCAACACCAGACGUGCCCAUCCGCCUACACGCGCUUUAAGCCCAGUGAUUCCGAAUAACGUUCGCACGGUUCGUCUUACCGCGGCUGCUGGCAC